rnacentral:rRNA from 1 species
UACAUGCAGUCGAACGCGUUGGCCCAAUUGAUUGAUGGUGCUUGCACCUGAUUGAUUUUAGGUCGCCAACGAGUGGCGGACGGGUGAGUAACACGUGGGUAACCUGCCCAUAAGCGGGGGACAACAUUUGGAAACCGAUGCUAAUACCGCAAAACAACCUUGUUCGCAUGGGCUACGCUUAAAAAAAGGGUUCCCGCUGUCACUUCUGGAUGGACCUGCGGUGCAUUAGCUUGUUGGUGGGGUAACGGCCUACCAAGGCGAUGAUGCAUAGCCGAGUUGAGAGACUGAUCGGCCACAUUGGGACUGAGACACGGCCCAUACUCCUACGGGAGGCAGCAGUAGGGAAUCUUCCACAAUGGGCGCAAGCCUGAUGGAGCAACACCGCGUGAGUGAAGAAGGGUUUCGGCUCGUAAAGCUCUGUUGUUAAAGAAGAACACGUAUGAGAGUAACUGUUCAUAUCUUGACGGUAUUUAACCAGAAAGUCACGGCUAACUACGUGCCAGCAGCCGCGGUAAUACGUAGGUGGCAAGCGUUAUCCGGAUUUAUUGGGCGUAAAGAGAGUGCAGGCGGUUUUUUAAGUCUGAUGUGAAAGCCUUCGGCUUAACCGGAGAAGUGCAUCGGAAACUGGAUAGACUUGAGUGCAGAAGAGGGUAGUGGAACUCCAUGUGUAGCGGUGGAAUGCGUAGAUAUAUGGAAGAACACCAGUGGCGAAGGCGGCUAUCUGGUCUGCAACUGACGCUGAGACUCGAAAGCAUGGGUAGCGAACAGGAUUAGAUACCCUGGUAGUCCAUGCCGUAACGAUGAGUGCUAGUGUUGGAGGGUUUCCGCCCUUCAGUGCUGGCAGCUAACGCAUUAAGCACUCCGCCUGGGGAGUACGACCGCAAGGUUGAAACUCAAAGGAAUUGACGGGGCCCGCACAAGCGGUGGAGCAUGUGGUUUAAUUCGAUGCUACGCGAAGAAUCUUACCAGGUCUUGACAUCUUGCUGCCAACUCUUAGAGAUAGGGCGUUUCCUUCGGGGACGCAAUG